CUACUGUAUUUGUUCAUGUACUUCAGUGAGUAUAGGUAAACUAAAGACUAUACUAAAGCAAAGACUGAUACCCUGUGUUCUCAACACAGAGAGAAGAAGAACUAUAUCAUAUCUGUAACUGAACUUUAUCAAGAAAUGUGCCUGUAUGGUGAAUUAAUACAAGAUAAAAUAUCUCUCAUAAGAGCUGACUUAGAUGCUGUAAUUGAAGCAGAAGCCAACAACAAGGUGUCCAACAACUCUGUAAAUGGGAUUAACACUGGAUCAAUUUCAAUUUUUUUCCCGGAAUACUCAAGUCAAGCCUGGGAGAACCUGACUGGCAAGUGUUACCUAGAAGACCUUUUCAUUAACUACCCCAGGACUGUGGAACGAUCUGCCAGAAGAGCUCCAACAACUAAAUAGCUGUUGGAAUUUUUAAAAAACCAUCUGAAGACUUAUCUCUUCCAGCAGGCCUACCCAACCAGUUUUUAAGCAUGAAUUUUAAACUUGUGUCCUUCAUUUAAUCUCCGUUUUGUAUAUUUUUAAAAUGUAUUUUAUAGAAAUAUGUUUUAAUAUGUAUCUUUUAUAGAAAUGCAUUUUAAUAUGUGUAUCUGUGGUAUUUUUACAAUGUUUAUGUGCUUUAAUUGUUCUGUAAGCUGACUUGAGCCACAAGGAGAGGCGAGUAAGAAAUAAAAUUAUUAUGAUUAUGAUUAUUAAGCGGCAUAGGAAUCUGUUAAAAAUGGCAAAAGUUAUUAUGAGGAGGCUCACAUAACCUUAAAAUGGCCUCAUCGGUUUGCUUUUGUCUGAGCCUACUGGGAAGGGCAAAUUUGACUCCAUCCUUUCCUUGCCUCUCCUACUGAAUCAAUGAGGUACCAAUUACUUUUUAAACUUUGAAUGCAGUUUGUAGCCAUUGAAGUAAGCUGAGGACAAAGGGGGAAAGUGGGAGGACAAGAGAGAAGCUGGGAUAUUUUAAAAGCAUCCAGAAAAGUGGAAACAUAAUAACCCAGAAGCUUUUAAAGAUAUUUUUGGUUGACAAUACUUUCCCUCUGCCUUAAUUUGAUUUUAAAAUUAGUCUCCGAUGUUUCCACAUCAGAGGCCGAAGGUCUUUCCAUGUCACCCACCUCCAUUUGCCAGUAGAUUUAGUAAAAUCUAAUUUAUUUUGACAGGCAGUUAAUGCUCCAUGAACUGGCACUGUUUAAAAUUUGUAAAUGUGUAAGAUUUUACUUACGGCUCUCUCUUUUAUUUUAACUUAAAGACCUGGAGUGAGGGGUGGGGGAGGCUACAUCUCAAUAUGGUAAUGUGUCAAGGGUCCAGUGAGAAAUGGCAAGUAUGAUUGUGUAGAUCUAAGGUGUAUCUGCACUGCAGAAUAACAGCAGUUUGAUACCACUUUAAUUGCCAUGGCUGUCCUUAGGAAUGCUGUGCCUGCAGUUUGGUGCUUAGGAUUCUCUGCUCACACAGUCUGGAACUAUAGCACUAGAACACCCAUAAAGAGAAUCCCAAAUCUUUCUCCAAAUUACAAAUUCAAGGAUUCUGUGGGAUGUAGCCAAGACAAUUAGAGUGAUUCUUAAUUACUACAAAUGUGUAGUCUGGUCUAUCUGAAGCUACUGGAAAAGUGAUGUCUGCUUUGACAGAACAAUGCUGUUAUUAGUGUUUUCGGUAUCCUAGAAAGAAACAGGUAACAACAAUGUUUUUUGUGAACUUAAACCAUCAAAGGUGCAGAGCUGUGGCUUGUGCUUUGCAAGACUGGCUCACCAAACCUUUUUGCCUUUCUCCAUUUGCUCAGGCAGGAAUAUCACAGAAGAAAGGAAGAAAACAUAGACUAAAUAUUGGUUGGUAUUUUCCCUGAACUUCCCCAUGCUCCUGAUAUUUUGUGCUAUUUUCAAUAGCUUAUGUCUGAAAAAUUCACUAGCCCAUUAAUGAAUUUUUUAAUGAACUAUCAGCCCAUGCACUCCAAUGAAGUCCAAAAGCAGCAGUACCCUUUUGGGUCUUGCUCCAAAGCAUAAAACAGAAAAUAGAGAUAAAAAGCCAUAAAAGACAGGUACAUUUCAAAUGCAGUUGCAACAGAAAAUAACUUAUCUUGAUAUCCAGAUGUUCCUAUCCCAUGAGAAACUAACUACUCCUUUCUUAAGCAUUUAAUUUAUCAAGAAGUUCCUGGACUGUUGCACCUAAAGGUGCUUUAUAGGUAAAUUUGCCAAAUUGUAUUUGUCCCUGGAUUUCAAGAUAUAAGAUUUAACCACAAUAGGGGAAUUCUAACAAGAGGGAACCAAAGACUCUUUGAGGCAUUAUACUUCCAACUAAGGUAAAACUCUUUCAUUGAACUACAAUUUGGGUCUACUAUUUGGCAAGUCUCUAGUCCUCACUUGGUAUGUCUGCACUGAAAUGCCUCAAUACUAUUUUAACUGACUACAUUUCAGAGAGAAUGUAGGCAUCUAACACAAACAUAAUCACCAUUUUUCUCCUGUAGGAUUUUUAACAUCUUUGCCUGAUGAAGAAGCCAGUGAAGCUUCAAAAGUUUGCAUAAUGUAUUCUUUGCUUUGGUCCUAGAAAGGUAUUGCUGCUUGUGGGUUCUAUAUUUUGCUCCAUAGCCAACAUGACUAUCUCUGAAUAUUCCCCCUCAUGCACUUGUGAUUCCAAUAGACAUACACAUUUGUUCCACUUUAGAAAUUGUAUAUUUUUGCCUGAUCAUCUGCAGGAGAACUAUAUUCACUAUAAGUGACUUAACAUUAAUCCUAGCCUGUGCUUUUGAGUGCAGUUUUUAGCAGAUAUUCUGUACUGUGUUUCAUUCCUUCCAGUAUUAGCAAGCAGAAUAGGACAGGUAUAUGGCCGUGAUCUGUAGCUCUCAGCAGGCAUAGAGAGAAACCUAGAAGAAGCUGAUCACCAAAAGUGAGAAAAGAUUCCACAUGACUGACAUGAUUGCAUUUUCAUAGACCUUAGGCAAUCAGACAAGGAAAUCGGCAGUCAGUGUGUGUGUGUAUGGCAUACUUUGAUGCUGCUGUUUUGUCUGAAGAUAAAAGGCACAUAAACACACAAUACAAUACACACAAACUUUGAAUAAACACUAAAGCACAACAGUAGAGAGAAAUCAGCAUGCAACAAAUUAUACUUCUUUAUCUUGUACUAUAGCUUGCUCUCUAUUAUCUGACAGUGGUCCCAUAUAUACAACCCCCCC